UACGAAGGGGCCGAGCGUUGUUCGGAAUCACUGGGCGUAAAGGGCGCGUAGGCGGCCCUCCUUGUCGCGUGUGAAAGCCCCGGGCUCAACCUGGGAACGGCGCGCGAGACGGGGGGGCUGGAGUUCGGGAGAGGAGCGUGGAAUUCCCAGUGUAGAGGUGAAAUUCGUAGAUAUUGGGAAGAACACCGGUGGCGAAGGCGGCGCUCUGGACCGAGACUGACGCUGAGGCGCGAAAGCGUGGGGAGCAAACAGG
rnacentral:rRNA from 1 species